UGAAUGCGGAAGUUGGACCAUGAGCUCCUGAAGUUGCUCAUUCUUGCUGAGCCAAGUUGCUGUUGCUGGUCCUCCUCCUCUCCACUCUUUGAAUGAAGAUUGAGCUUCACCCCAAAAUGCAACGUCUGUUACAAGAAGGGAAGGAUUUGCAGACAGAAAUCUGAAAGGAAAAGCUACUGUAACAUUUGAUGCAGCUGCUCAGCUCACCACCACCACCUGAAUAUCCGAAGUCUUUGGACCUAGAAUGAGAAAUGUCUAUCUGUUCUGUCAGCUUCAAAUACACCAAGAUGUGCACACAUGCAGGCAUGCACUGGGGUGAGUGUGAAAGUGCUCCACUGAACCGAUGGAGGGAAGACCUGUUCUGAAGAAAACAGCCUGAGAGACUGUUCUUGUGUAUUGGCUGAGGAAGGAGCUUGAGCCAGUUAUACAGACCAAAUGCUCAUUGUACAAUUGUUAUUGUCCGCUGCACACCCCCUUUAAAAUACCGGAAGAAGGUAGUCUAGAUCCUAAGUUUUCUUAUUUUACAGGCAAAUGUGAAGUGUCUCAGAUGCCGUGCAACUAGUCAAACGACUCAACAUUAAGCAAAACACAAUUUAUUGGAACACUGUUGUUAAAAUACAACCAGAGAAAGAGGAAUUUAGAAUACCUUAACAGAUUAGAAGCUUAAUAGAUACAGUAACAGUUCCAAUACAGUAACAUCUUAGAAACACAAAUUCAGACGCAGAUUCUCACAUGCAGUUCUCCAAUCCCGGAGGAAUAAAAACAUCAGAGAGAGUAGCAGCCAAGAGGCGUUCACUGAAGCUUCCAACUUUUUUGAGAGGCCGAAGCCUUCCGCUUAAAUCUAAACUGAAAAACUAAAACAAACAAAACUAGAAACUGAGCGAGCUGGCCACACCCAGGCUGCUGCUGUCGUUUCAAUUCCAAAACAAAAGCCCCAAGGUUUUGCAAGUUGCUUACUUUCUCAGGCGCAGCUCAGUGCCUCUGCCUUACAACCUCUCUUCCACAAAUAAAAACCUGGGACAAAAUAACCUCUCAAGCCACAGCACUGCCUCUCAAUCCACGGGGUGGAGAGAUUGUGUACGUACGAACUCGGGCCCAAAUGAUCUUUGAAUCUGGAGAGGCAGAAGGACGGGCACGCUGUGGGCAAAACGUGGACAUGUGGGCAUUGUGGGAAUGGACAUUCACCCCUGUGUGGGCAGGGAUUCACCCAGCCCACCAGACUGCUGACACACCGACAGGUUCAUGCUGGAGAGAGAGUCCGUUUGCCUUCCCUGGGUGUGGGAAACAGUGUGUGAGUUCACUUAAACCUGCGGAGGCAGCGGUGAGACCACACCAAGACCUCUGUGAGCGUGCGAUGGGGCUCGUACAGUCAUUCAGAUAGCUGAGAAGCCACAGAACCAUACAGCACGGAAACAGACCCUUCGGCCCAAACAGUCCAUGCCAAACGCAGCCCCAAAUUAAACCAGUCCCACCUCCCAGCCCCUGGCCCAUAUCUCCCCCAACCUUUCCCAUUCCUGUACUUAUCCAAACGUCUUUUAAACGUUGUAACAGUACCCACAUCACCACUUCCGCAGGAUGUUCAUCCCACGCACAAGCCAUUCUUUGUGCCUUUUCUAACCUCAUCUUCUUUAACCCUCUCUCCUCUCGCCUUAAAAAUACCUCCCCACCGAGUCUUGAAAUCCCCCCACCCUAGGAAAACCAUGUACCAUUUGCUCUGCCUGUCCCCCUUGUGAUUUUAUAAACUUCUCUAAGGUUGCCUGUCUAGGUCCAGUUCAUAGAAUGGAAUCAUAGAAUCCCUACGGGGUGGAAACAGGCCCUUCGGCCCAACAAAUCCACACGAAGAGUUUGCCAGCCAGACCCAUCCCCCUGCCCUUGUAUUUCCAAUGUCUAACCCACCUAGCUAAACAUCUCUGGGAACUACGGGCAGUUUAGCAUCGCUAAUCCACCCGAACCUGCACAUUUUUGGACUGUGGGAGGAAACCCAAGCAGAUACGGGGUGGGGGGGAGAACGUGCAAACGCCACACAGUUGCCCGAGAGUGGAAUCGAACCCGGGUCCCUUGCGCCGUGAGGUAGCAGCGCUACCAUUGAGCCACUGUGCUGCCCCAUUGGCACAGUUGCCCUGACUGUACGUGGGCGCAUGGAAUCAUAAAAGUCUACAGCAUGGAAACGGGCCUUUCAGCCCAACUCGUCCGUACUGCUCAGUUUUCAUAAUUAAUCUAGCCCCAUUUGCUGGCAUUUGGCCCAUGUCCCUCCAUACCUGUCCCAUCCAUGUACCUGACCAAAUGUUUCUUAAAUGACAAAAUUCUACCCACUUCCACCACUGCGUCUCGCAGCCAGAUGCCCACCACCCUCUGUGUGAAAGAAUUGCCCCUCUGGACCCUUUUAUAUCUCUCCCCUCUCACCUUAAACCCUCUAGAUUUAGACUCCCCCACUCUGGGGGGAAAAGCUGCCAGCUUAUCUACCUUAGCUAUGCCUUUCAUCAUUUUGUAGACCUCUGUAAGGUCGCCCCCUCAGUCUCCCACGCUCCAGGGAAAAAUGUCCCAACCUCUCAUAUAAGAGCUACCAGCUCAGGUAGCAUGCUAGUAAAUGUUUGCUGCAUUGUUUCUCGUUUAAUAAUAUCCUUUCUACAGCAGGGUGACCAGAACUGCACACACUGCUCCAAAUGUGGUCUCACCAAUGUCUUGUACAGCUGCAACAAGAUGUUCUAACUCCUAAAUACAGUACCCUGACCAAUGAAAGCAGGCACGCCAAAAGCCCCCUUUCACUGCCCUGUCUACCUGCAACUCCACUUUCAAGGAGCUAUGAACCUGUACUCCUAGAUCUCUUUGUUUAAAGCACUCCCCCCCCCCCCGACCAACUACCAGACCCUACUGUGUCAGUCCUGCAAAAUGCAACACCUUGCAUUUAUCUAAAUUAAACUCCAUCUGCCAUUCCUCAGCCUGUUGAUCACACUGAGGGGUAUUUACUGAUAGAGCAAGAACCAGACUCAGGAGGCAUACAUGUGUCUGUAAAGAAAUUGAGACACACAAAGUUUCCUCCUCCUCCAUAAGGCUGUCAGAAUUGUAACAAAGGGAGCAGAGACUGGUCGACCAAAGGUGAAGGCCGGAGCUUGAGGGAAGUAACGUUUGAGGCAGUAUCUUAUACUGCUACUGGCUUUGGAGAGAGGUGGCUGGAAGUCCAUGCAAAUUGCCAGUUGAGUCUGACCCAUACAGUCAUUGGCAGGAUUUGAGCUGGCCAAGCCUCUACCACGGAGGAAGGAGGAAGUGGCCUUGGGUCAUCACAUUCUGACACGGAUUCAAAUGAGAACCAGUUUUGAGAUGUCCGUCGUUCGGAAAGCGAUAAAUCUUUGGCUUUCCGAUACGGUUUGUGAAUGGGAUUUACAGGAAGGUAAAUCAGUUCACUCCCUGAUCGUUUUGAAAGACUGACGGUCAUUCCCUGCAGAAAGAUAUUCCAGAAAAAAAUUUUUAUAAAAGAUUAAAGAAGGUCAAGGUACAGAGAACAAAAAAAUGCUGGAAAACACAUUGGCCCAGCAACAUCCGUGGAGUGUGAGAAAUCUAAUGUUUCGAGACCAGAUGACUCGGAGCUCUAUUGAAGAGUCAUCUGGACUCGAGCCAUUAGCUUGCUCUCGCUCUCUUUUUGGAUGCGGGCUGACCAAUUAUGGUUUCCAGCAGUGAUAAUGGGAACUGCAGAUGCUGGAGAAUCCAAGAUAACAAAGUGUGGAGCUGGAUGAACACAACAGGCCAAGCAGCAUCUCAGGAGCACAAAAGCUGACGUUUCGGGCCUAGACCCUUUCCAGCACUUCUUUUUUGUUCUCAGUAUCCAUCGUAAUUUGCUCCAUCAAUGUGCAGAGCCCUGCUUCAGUGAUGAAUUUAAACCACUGGGUUGUAUUAAGGUCCCUCGUGGGUCAUUGAAGUUCUGAAGGAGGUUCGCUGGGCUCUCCACGGAUGCUGCCGAGUUUCUCCAGCACUUUCUGUUUUUGUCUCUGUUCGAUCAGAUGUGGUGCAGAUGGGUCCUGGGAAGCUGUUGUUCCAGGCAGCCUUGGCAAAAGAAAUGGGGUAUUCCACUUUGGCAUGGAGUCACAGAGAUGUACAGCACAGGAAGAGGAGCCUUGGCCCAGCACGUCCAGGCUGGUCAGAUAUCCGAAAUUAAUCUAGUCCCAUUUGCCAGCAUUUGGCCCAUAUCGCUCUAAACCCUAUCUAUUCAUGGAGCCGUCCAGAUGCCUUUUAAAUGUUGUAAUUGUAUCCACCUCCACCACUUCCACACUGGAAGAGCGAGAUUCCCCGCACCAGGACACAGGAGAGACAUAGACUCGGGAGGCAGACAGGACACAGGAGAGACAUAGACUCGAGAGGCAGACAGGACACAGGAGAGACAGACUCGGGAGGCAGACAGGGCACAGGUACAUGGCAGACUUUUAUUCAGGCAAACCCCAUUAAUGCAGAAUGAGGGCUGAAGGAUCUUCCCUGAAUCUGGCUUCAACCUGAAAACACAAGUGUUUACUUCAUCUUCAACUUCAGCUCAAUGGCACACUGUUAUUUUACAAUAAAAAGCAACAUUUUUAUACAUUUGUGUUACAAUGAUCACACAACAAUGUGUUUACUGUAUGCUCCCCUUCACUACUGUUGAGCCAAUAUUCUGUUCAGCCAACCUCCUGAUUAAAGAUGGGUGUUCUUGUCGACAGCCCAAGGUUCUUAGUUUUCUUUUAAAUGAUAUUUAACAAUUAUUGUAACCUCGAGGUCUUGGGAUCUUUCUUGGUCACAUUCCAGAGUUACUGGCUGUUCUCUUUGAGUCGUUACCUGUCUCUAAGGGCUGCUUAGAUCCAUCAUCCAUUGUACUUGCGAGAUCUUAUCAAAUUCCAUUACACUUUUUUUUCUAAAAAUAAAGUUCAUUUUGUUAUAAAAA